GUAGCGCCUAUCCCAAAGGUUUAAGUCCUUGGAAAACAUGAAAAAGCUCAUAUUACCUAAAUGGACAAAGAAGGAUUUAAUCACACCUCUGUCCUCCUAGUGGGUACUCAAGCUCAAAUAAGUUCCCAAUUCUAACAAAUGAUUGUAACUGUAGGAGGGAGAAAGGGUUUGCAAUUAGAAUAAUCUUCUUGAUAUGUAAUUUCGCAAGGCUAUGAAUAGAAGAUUAAUUGUAUUUUGCUUCCUGAGAAACUUUAAGGUGAUAGUGUCUUAUGUGAAUAGGUAAAUAUGGACAAAAAUUACUUACAAUAUAUGGGAAUGGUCAAGAGCCUAAGUUAGAAAUCUCAUGGCUUUUUUCAGCAUUCCUAUCCUAAGAAUGAGCUCAUAAAGAUGUG
rnacentral:lncRNA from 1 species